CUCCAGGAAGCCUUCCCGACUGCCCUGCGGCACCGAGCCUGUGUCCUCUGGUUGCCCCGAGGGACCCCAGCGCCCCCGCCACGGGGAUCAGGACACAUUGGGAACCCGGGAUCUGUUUGGCGGGUCUGUUUCUCAAGACCUAGAACCACGUGGUCCAGGCACCUCACUGAUCUAAGAACGUGAGUGGCAAGAAGGAAGAGGCAUCGUUCAGAAUGCUCGGGGCUGAUGGUGAGCCAGAGGAGAGGAGGGAUGUACCAGAAAGCUCUGGCGUUUCCUCUCAGCCUGAGCCACAAGUGCAGCACCAACUGGGCAGUCUGUAUGGAGUGCCCUGGCAGCCCCCGGGCUCCCCAAUACAGCACAGCCCUGCUGAUCAAGAGACAAGCACGGUGACCCAGCAGCAGUGGCACCUCCAGGGCCUGCGUAGAUCUGAGCUCCAGGCUGCUGGGCUCCCUGAGGCACAACUAGGAGAAGCAGCAGAGUCCAGCCCAAGCAGCUUCCUACUGGGUUCUGAGGUUGGUGAGUACCAGUCAUGGUGGUGCAUGUGGUCCCCCAAGCUGGACCCCAGAUGGGGGACUGGGAGCGGGGGCCUGGCGUCAACCGAGCAGCCUCCUCUCUGA
rnacentral:lncRNA from 1 species